GACGAACGCUGGCGGCGUGCUUAAUACAUGCAAGUCGACUGAACUUAAGGUAGCAAUAUUUUAAGGGAGGUGGCGCACGGGUGAGUAACACGUAGGUAAUCUGCCUUUAGGUCUGACAUAAUUCCGCGAAAGCGGGACUAACUUCAGAUGAUGCAGCGGCUCGACAUCGAGACAGUUGUUAAAUCUUCGGAGCCUAAAGAUGAGCCUGCGUCUGAUUAGGUAGUUGGCGGAGUAAAAGCCCACCAAGCCUGCGAUCAGUAGCUGGUCUGAGAGGAUGAUCAGCCACACUGGAACUGAGACACGGUCCAGACUCCUACGGGAGGCAGCAGUAAGGAAUAUUGCUCAAUGGCCGAAAGGCUGAAGCAGCAACGCCGCGUGGAGGAUGAAAUACUUUUGUAUGUAAACUCCUGUAAGAAGGGAAAAUAUUCCGAUUUAUCGGGAUUGAUUGUACCUUCAGAGUAACGCCCCGGCUAACUACGUGCCA
rnacentral:rRNA from 1 species